AUACGGAGGGUGCAAGCGUUAUUCGGAAUCACUGGGCGUAAAGGACGCGUAGGCGGGUUGGCAAGUCAGAUGUGAAAUCCUUCAGCUUAACUGUAGAACUGCAUUUGAAACUGCUAACCUAGAGGAUGGGAGGGGGAGAUGGAAUUAGUGGUGUAGGGGUAAAAUCCGUAGAUAUCACUAGGAAUACCGAAAGCGAAGGCGAUCUCCUGGAACAUAACUGACGCUAAGGCGUGAAAGCGUGGGGAGCAAACAGGAUUAGAAACCCUAGUAGUCC
rnacentral:rRNA from 1 species